GACGAACGCUGGCGGCGUGCUUAACACAUGCAAGUCGAACGGAAAGGCCCUGCUUUUGUGGGGUGCUCGAGUGGCGAACGGGUGAGUAACACGUGAGUAACCUGCCCUUGACUUUGGGAUAACUUCAGGAAACUGGGGCUAAUACCGGAUAGGAGCUCCUGCUGCAUGGUGGGGGUUGGAAAGUUUCGGCGGUUGGGGAUGGACUCGCGGCUUAUCAGCUUGUUGGUGGGGUAGUGGCUUACCAAGGCUUUGACGGGUAGCCGGCCUGAGAGGGUGACCGGCCACAUUGGGACUGAGAUACGGCCCAGACUCCUACGGGAGGCAGAAGUGGGGAAUAUUGCACAAUGGGCGGAAGCCUGAUGCAGCAACGCCGCGUGCGGGAUGACGGCCUUCGGGUUGUAAACCGCUUUCGCCUGUGACGAAGCGGGAGUGACGGUAAUGGGUAAAGAAGCACCGGCUAACUACGUG
rnacentral:rRNA from 1 species